rnacentral:rRNA from 1 species
CUACGGGUGGCACCAGGCGAGAAAACUUUGCAAUGUGCGAAAGCACGACAAGGUUAAUCCGAGUGGUUUCUGCUAAAGGAACCUUUUGUCGGUCCUAGAAACACCGAUGAAUAAGGGGUGGGCAAGUUCUGGUGUCAGCCGCCGCGGUAAAACCAGCACCUCAAGUGGUCAGGAUGAUUAUUGGGCCUAAAGCAUCCGUAGCCGGCUCUGUAAGUUUUCGGUUAAAUCUGUAUGCUCAACAUACAGGCUGCCGGGAAUACUGCAUAGCUAGGGAGUGGGAGAGGUAGACGGUACUCGGUAGGAAGGGGUAAAAUCCUUUGAUCUAUUGAUGACCACCUGUGGCGAAGGCGGUCUACCAGAACACGUCCGACGGUGAGGGAUGAAAGCUGGGGGAGCAAACCGGAUUAGAUACCCGCGUAGUC